AUUCUAAGACUCCAGAAAGAUGUCUUAUCAGCAGCAGCAGUGCAAGCAGCCCUGCCAGCCACCUCCACCUAUAAAGGAUACAGAAGAAGCUUCUCCACCCUUCAGCCGGCAGUAUGCCUGUGGUGAUUCCUGACUGCCAGAGGAUUCUCUCCCUCCCUUGGGUCUGUCUGUCACCUGGGCAGGGGUUUCUACCAGCUGGUCAACUGUUGCUUAUCCUCCUCUUCUCAAAUAAACUACAGUUCCUUUGUAUGAUGUCAAAAAUGUUUCCUUUCUUUCAAAAUUGUUUUUAGUAAUACUAUACCAUCAUCAAGUUUUGUUUCUAUCCUUUGAUGCCAAGGUUCAAGCUUGCACAACCAGCGUUGCUAAAUUUUGAGUCUUACCAAAGAAUACUUUUACAUAAUUUCAAUUCCAUGUUAUUUCCUUAAUUAUCACUUGAUGAUUUGAGGAACAAAAUAUUUGCCUCUUCAGGUUUUCAGUCCUUUUAGUAAAAUGUAGGGAAAAUCGUAUUUUCAUUUCAAACUUCUGAGGAAUCAAUAUUCAAUGAAUGUGUAUAAUUCAGGUGGCA
ensembl:lncRNA